GUGACAGCAGCCGCGGUAAAACGUAGGUUCCGAGCGUUAUCCGGAUUUACUGGGCGUAAAGCGUGUUCAGGCGGUGUCACAAGUCGGGCAUGAAAUCUCUCGGCUCAACCGGGAGGGGCUGUCCGAUACUGUGAGACUUGAGGGCAGUAGAGGGUGGUGGAAUUCCGGGUGUAGUGGUGAAAUGCGUAGAGAUCCGGAGGAACACCAGUGGCGAAAGCGGCCACCUGGACUGUACCUGACGCUCAAACACGAAAGCUAGGGGAGCGAACGGGAUUAGAAACCCCUGUAGUCC
rnacentral:rRNA from 1 species